ensembl:lncRNA
CCGGACGCUCUCAUGCCAGGAAAGGCUCACAGACUGAGGGCAAAAGGUCACCUCCAUGACGACGAGGACACACCCACAACAGAAGCGGUCAGCAGAGAAAAGUGAAGCUCGCCGCGAAGGCGCCGGGCCGCUGUGCCGACGCGUCCCGGUUAGUAGGCCGCCCGGCUGCGACGUCAGCGCUCCGCCACGACCCUGCCAGCUCCCACGUGGAGCCCACAUAUGGGCCUCAUCUAUAAGAGACGGGAGGCCUCGAGGAGCCACAGUGCCGGGAAGAAAAACGCACUCCGCAGAAGGAUGCCGGCGAUAACGAAAAGAC